UACGGGGGGGGCAAGCGUUGUUCGGAAUUACUGGGCGUAAAGGGCUCGUAGGCGGCCAACUAAGUCAGACGUGAAAUCCCUCAGCUUAACUGGGGAACUGCGUGUGAUACUGGAUGGCUUGGAUUUGGGAGAGGGAUGCGGAAUUCCCGGUGUAGCGGUGAAAUGCGCAGAUAUCGGGAAGAACACCCGUGGCGAAGGCGGCUCUCUGGAACGCAACUGACGCUGAGACGCGAAAGCGUGGGGAGCAAACAGG
rnacentral:rRNA from 1 species